AUCGGUGGCAAUAGCGGAGGGGAAACACCCGUACCCAUUCCGAACACGGAAGUUAAGCCCUCCAGCGCUGAUGGUACUGCAGGGGCGACCCUGUGGGAGAGUAGGUCGCCGCCGGUU
rnacentral:rRNA from 1 species